UUGAUAGCAUCAUGUUGAUUACAAAAACUGCCAUUUUGGAAAAUGGGAGGCAUUCUAUGAUGACUUUGGUAUUUUCACCCACUAAAAUCAAUGGUUAUUGGUUGUUUGUUUGAUUAUAAAACAUGUUCAAAGAAAAUGGUUUGUACCCUAGAAUAUUGUUACGUGUUUGUAGAUGUAGAUUAUCCAAGUUAGAGGAUUGUUUGUGUUAGUGUUGACAACUGGUGUUUUGACAACCUUAGCGGUAGUCAUCUUCUGAAGAUUUACAUCUACAAACUUGGUUAAAAGACAAAGCCAAAGUAGAAAAACCACAUGCUACACAUCAGCUAAAAAAAGUUUAUUUUAACAUCAUAACAAUCAAUUGUAAUUGACGCAUUAUGCUAAACAAAGCUCACUCCAACUCUCUUUCCCAUAAGUUCCUUGUUUAGUUGUGUCCUUGAGUAAAUUUUCCCUUUUGCACAACCAACAUCUUUCUUUCCUUUAAUCUAGCAACAGUGCCUUCAGUUCAAAGAUAUUUUUAACACAAUCUCUGAAAAACAAGGUGAUGAAGACAGUUUUCAAAAAUAGAUGGCAACUUUUAACUAUCUACUGAAAAAGCAAUAGUCAAUGAAUAUACGUAAACAUUGAAAAGGAUAGGGUAGUAUUUGAACAUUACUAAAAAAAAAUUAUUGGGUAAAAAUUAAGACUAUAGUGACAAUCAUUCAUCACAACCACCACCGGGCUCAUGGUUUUUCAGAGCAUAUUUAGGCAAUGAAAAAUAUGUCACUGAUGUGAGUAUUGGUUGUGAUGAAUGGAAACGAAUAGCCUUUUCUCUUAUUUUAUCUAAAAUAUCUAAUAAGACAUGAAUACAUCCAUGAAUGACCUGAAGAAAAUAAAUGAGCAGUCGUUCAAUCUGUGAUAUAGGAAAUAAAAUAAGUGUGUUGUGAGUUUUGGUGGAGGUAAACACGACCUAGAAAACUGGGUCCAACAGAACCUGAGAUACUCAAGUUUUAAUGUUUCACUGAAAAUUCCAACUUGAAACUUUUUAGAGAACGAUGUUUGCCGGAAAGGUUUUACUUUGACGAAAGAAGACAACGUUAAAAUACAUUACAAGGUUUACAAAAAGACUUUAUCUAGCGUGUAUGGUAUGAGCGAGAAACGAAGAAGUGGUUUGAUCAUAUGCAACCUACCAUAUGGCAUAUUGAUUACAACGUAUAGUGGCUCAACUGACAAGGCGAGGGACGUCAUUAAACUUGUUGAAGAUGCGUGCACGUUACUCCGAAGUUAGAGACAGAGAUUUAAUGUCGUAGAACUCUGAAAACUCAGUCCCUAGCUUACACUAGUUGUCGUUACGAUACUUCAUGGAUUGUACAGUGAUUACCGUCAACCUAAUGUAUCAGUGUAUUUCUAUGAUUUCGUAACAUGUUAUAUCACCAAUGCAAUAAAUUAAAUAUUCCGGAAAUUA